UCGGGAAUUUUGGGCAAUGGGCGAAAGCCUGACCCAGCAACGCCGCGUGAGGGAUGAAGUAUUUCGGUAUGUAAACCUCGAAAGAAUGGGAAGAAUAAAUGACGGUACCAUUUAUAAGCUCCGGCUAACUACGUGCCAGCAGCCGCGGUAAUACGUAGGGAGCAAGCGUUGUUCGGAUUUACUGGGCGUAAAGGGCGCGUAGGCGGCGCGGUAAGUCACUUGUGAAAUCUCUGAGCUUAACUCAGAACGGCCAAGUGAUACUGCUGUGCUAGAGUGCGGAAGAGGCAACCGGAAUUCUUGGUGUAGCGGUCAAAUGCGUAGAUAUCAAGAGGAACACCUGAGGCGAAGGCGGGUUGCUGGGCCGACACUGACGCUGAUGCGCGAAAGCCAGGGGAGCAAACG
rnacentral:rRNA from 1 species